rnacentral:rRNA from 1 species
AACGAACGCUGGCGGCAUGCCUAACACAUGCAAGUCGAACGAGACCUUCGGGUCUAGUGGCGCACGGGUGCGUAACGCGUGGGAACCUGCCCUUAGGUUCGGAAUAACUCCCCGAAAGGGGUGCUAAUACCGGAUAAUGUCUUCGGACCAAAGAUUUAUCGCCUUUGGAUGGGCCCGCGUUGGAUUAGCUAGUUGGUAGGGUAAAAGCCUACCAAGGCGACGAUCCAUAGCUGGUCUGAGAGGAUGAUCAGCCACACUGGGACUGAGACACGGCCCAGACUCCUACGGGAAGCAGCAGUGGGGAAUAUUGGACAAUGGGCGAAAGCCUGAUCCAGCAAUGCCGCGUGAGUGAUGAAGGCCUUAGGGUUGUAAAGCUCUUUUACCCGGGAUGAUAAUGACAGUACCGGGAGAAUAGGCGCCGGCUAACUCCGUG